rnacentral:rRNA from 1 species
GACGAACGCUGGCGGCGUGCUUAACACAUGCCAGUCGAACGGAAAGGCCCUGCUUUUGUGGGGUGCUCGAGUGGCGAACGGGUGAGUAACACGUGAGUAACCUGCCCUUGACUUUGGGAUAACUUCAGGAAACUGGGGCUAAUACCGGAUAGGAGCUCCUGCUGCAUGGUGGGGGUUGGAUAGUUUCGGCGGUUGGGGAUCGACUCGCGGCUUAUCAGCUUGUUGGUGGGGUAGUGGCUUACCAAGGCUUUGACGGGUAGCCGGCCUGAGAGGGUGUCCGGCCACAUUGGGACUGAGAUACGGCCCAGACUCCUACGGGAGGCAGCAGUGGGGAAUAUUGCACAAUGGGCGGAAGCCUGAUGCAGCAACGCCGCGUGCGGGAUGACGGCCUUCGGGUUGUAAACCGCUUUCGGCUGUGACGAAGCGUGAGUGACGGUAAUGGGUAAAGAAGCACCGGCUAACUACGUG